rnacentral:lncRNA from 1 species
UUUGUAUAGCUUUUCCGACAAAAGUCGCAGGCUCAACAGUAAAUGGGGAAUGUGUCCAUAGGACACAGAUGAUGUUCCCGUUUGCAUAUCAUAUAAAGUUAUAAAGGCACAUAAUUGAAGAACAGUAAAAGUGACACUACCCAAAUUUGUUAUUGAUCUGAGUUUUGUUGUAAUAAGUCUUGUGUACAAGUUUAAUAACAUUUGGUUUAGGCAAACCAAAAUCAAA